CCUACGGGAGGCAGCAGUGAGGAAUAUUGGUCAAUGGGCGGAAGCCUGAACCAGCCAAGUAGCGUGCGGGAUGAAGGCCCUACGGGUCGUAAACCGCUUUUGCACGGGGAUAACACCCUCCACUUGUGGAGGUCUGCAGGUACCGUGCGAAUAAGGGCCGGCUAAUUCCGUUCCAGCCGCCGCGGUAAUACGGAAGGCCCGAGCUUUAUCGGGAUUCAUUUGGCUUAACGGGAGCAUAGGCGGGCGUUCAAGUCAGCUGGAAAAUCGCGGGGCGCAACCGCGCCCCGCAGCUGAAACUGGGAGCCUUGAGUUCACAACAGGCAGGCAGAAUUCGUGGUGUAGCGGUGAAAUGCAUAGAGAUCACGAGGAACCCCGAUUGCGAAGGCGGCCUGCCGGGGUGCGACUGACGCUGAGGCUCGAAGGUGCGGGUAUCAAACAGGAUUAGAUACCCCUGUAGUC
rnacentral:rRNA from 1 species